AGAGUUUGAUCAUGGCUCAGAUUGAACGCUGGCGGCAUGCCUUACACAUGCAAGUCGAACGGCAGCGCGGGAGCAAUCCUGGCGGCGAGUGGCGAACGGGUGAGUAAUAUAUCGGAACGUGCCCUGUAGCGGGGGGAUAACCUAUCGAAAGAUGGACUAAUACCGCAUACGCUCUACGGAGGAAAGCGGGGGUCGCAAGACCUCGCACUAUAGGAGCGGCCGAUAUCGGAUUAGCUAGUUGGCGGGGUAAAAGCCCACCAAGGCGACGAUCCGUAGCUGGUCUGAGAGGAUGAUCAGCCACACUGGAACUGAGACACGGUCCAGACUCCUACGGGAGGCAGCAGUGGGGAAUUUUGGACAAUGGGCGCAAGCCUGAUCCAGCCAUGCCGCGUGAGUGAAGAAGGCCUUCGGGUUGUAAAGCUCUUUCGGCAGGAACGAAAUGGUUCGUGCUAAUACCACGGACUGAUGACGGUACCUGAAGAAGAAGCACCGGCUAACUACGUGCCAGCAGCCGCGGUAAUACGUAGGGUGCAGGCGUUAAUCGGAAUUACUGGGCGUAAAGCGUGCGCAGGCGGUUUCUUAAGUCAGAUGUGAAAGCCCCGGGCUUAACCUGGGAACUGCGUUUGAAACUGGGAGACUUGAGUGUGGCAGAGGGGGGUGGAAUUCCACGUAGCAGUGAAAUGCGUAGAUAUGUGGAGGAACACCGAUGGCGAAGACAGCCCCCUGGGUUAACACUGACGCUCAUGCACGAAAGCGUGGGGAGCAAACAGGAUUAGAUACCCUAGUAGUCC
rnacentral:rRNA from 1 species